rnacentral:rRNA from 1 species
AGAGUUUGAUCCUGGCUCAGAUUGAACGCUGGCGGAGUGCUUUACACAUGCAAGUCGAACGGUAGAGGGGGCAACCCCUUGAGAGUGGCGAACGGGUGAGUAAUAUAUCGGAACGUGCCCAGUCGUGGGGGAUAACGUAGCGAAAGUUACGCUAAUACCGCAUACGAUCUAAGGAUGAAAGCGGGGGAUCGCAAGACCUCGCGCGACUGGAGCGGCCGAUAUCAGAUUAGGUAGUUGGUAGGGUAAAGGCCUACCAAGCCAACGAUCUGUAGCUGGUCUGAGAGGACGACCAGCCACACUGGAACUGAGACACGGUCCAGACUCCUACGGGAGGCAGCAGUGGGGAAUUUUGGACAAUGGGCGAAAGCCUGAUCCAGCCAUUCCGCGUGCAGGAUGAAGGCCCUCGGGUUGUAAACUGCUUUUGUACAGAACGAAAAGGUUUCUACUAAUACUAGGAGCUCAUGACGGUACUGUAAGAAUAAGCACCGGCUAACUACGUGCCAGCAGCCGCGGUAAUACGUAGGGUGCAAGCGUUAAUCGGAAUUACUGGGCGUAAAGCGUGCGCAGGCGGUUAUAUAAGUCAGAUGUGAAAUCCCCGGGCUCAACCUGGGAACUGCAUUUGAGACUGUAUAGCUAGAGUACGGUAGAGGGGGAUGGAAUUCCGCGUGUAGCAGUGAAAUGCGUAGAUAUGCGGAGGAACACCGAUGGCGAAGGCAAUCCCCUGGACCUGUACUGACGCUCAUGCACGAAAGCGUGGGGAGCAAACAGGAUUAGAUACCCUGGUAGUCCACGCCGUAAACGAUGGGCACUAGGUGUGGGUCUCUAACCAACGAGAUCUGCGCCGUCGCUAACGCAUUAAGUGCCCCGCCUGGGGAGUACGGUCG